AAUUAUGGUGGCCCAAGUGGGGGCUUCGCAAGAAGCGCCGGUUUCCUUCGUGUCCGGUAACGCUAACUCCGCUUGGGCUACCACCAUG
rfam:Serratia marcescens subsp. marcescens Db11, complete genome